AUUAUAUAUUGUCUUUUGUUUCCUGGCAUUUGACUUUGUAGUUACCCUUAUACGUAUCCAACAUGGUGUGAAAUGUCCUCUAGGAGGCAUUUCACAGAACACAACUAUGUUGUGUGUGGUUCAACAAAAAUAACGUUUUGCCAAUUAUGGCUAGGUUACUACUUAAGCGGGCGUUAGUGUGGUAAAAUAAGUAAAAUUCUGUGAGGUAUUAGUUUGAAAAAGGACCUAAAAUGCUCUCAAGUAAAACCAAUUUUAAGUUCAUUAAUUGGUAUGAUCUUUACAAAUGUACCCAAUAGUCAGUAGGUCAACUAUACUCAAUUUACUUAAUUUUUUAAUCUAAUUUGUUAGGUGCAUGACUUUCUUCUUUAUUAAUUCUUAAAAGCUAAGGGACCUUUAUAUGUAUCCACGUAGUUAUUUUCUUUUUCAGGUCAAUUUUUGUAACGGGAAAAGUAAAAUUUUACCCAAUCAUUUUACAAAAAACUGAUCUUAUAGACUUUUCAUAGUAUUAGAAUAACUUAUGUUUUUAACUAUAUUGAAAAUGUAUGUGUGUUUUAAAUGUUUGCUUUGUGUGUUUUUGACAUUUUAUUACUAUGUUUUAGACCGCUGUUGUGAUAUCUCCAACUCAAGACCUGAAUAAUCAAGAAGAAAGAAGAUUUAAGGAAUUGGGUAGGAGGUGCCUGCUGAAGCGGUAAAUUAGAUGCUAGGUACACAUUAAAUUUCACUGUUGAACACAGAAGGAUACAAUCUUGCAGCAUGCUUUACCUUUACGCCUCGAGGUGUUUAAAGGGUGAAAUGCCUUUAGGCAUGUGAAUUUCCUGAGAACAAUACUUCCCAUGAAUUUGAAAGAGAAACUGUCUCAAAUACAUGUCAACUCUUGAGAAGCCAUUUCCCAAUAUUCCAAUGGUUGCCUCUCAAGAGGACAGAGUUGUAUGAAUUAUGGUGAAGGUUUUGGGCAAUUCUCAGUUUGACUUGCAACCGUUCCAACCAUGUAAAGUUGUCUAUGCACACAUCUUGGCUGUGGUAGGAAUGGUCCCAGAAGAUUGAGGCACGAAGCAGACCUUAUAAAGUGCAUUUUGAAAAGGAUUAUGGAGGAAGUGAACCCUAAAUACCAGCUCAUGUGCGCUAUCCUACAGAUCUUAAUUCUUGCGUAAAUGAGGUGAUCGAACGGUUGGAUAGGAAAGUUAGAAUGGUUGGGAUUUGUGGGAUAGGCGGCAUCGGGAAGACAACCCUUGCCAAAGCAGUCUACAACAGAUUAUUAAAGCAGCACAAUGAGAACUGUUCCAGUUUCGAGAACUGUUCCAGCUUCGAGAAGUGCAGCUUCCUUGCAAAUGUCCGCGAAGUAUCAAAGGAGAAGAGUGGAAUCGUUCGCUUGCAAGAGCAGCUGCUUCGUGAUGUCCUUAGAUUAGAAAUGCAAAUAAACGACAAGGACGACAGCAUCACCAAGAUCAGAAACAGAAUUGGAGACAUGAAAGUGCUUGUAGUUCUCGACGAUGUUGAUCAUAAAGACCAGCUCGAUGCGCUGGUCGGCAGCCAGUCAGGUUGGUUCAGUGGCGAAAGCAUAACCAUUGUCACUUGUAGAGAUGAAAGCAUCUUCAAGGGACGACAGAAGGUCAUCUAUAUGGUUCUGGAAUUGGAUCCUGCCCAAUCGCUUAAACUUUUCAGUCAGCAUGCGUUUAAGCAACCCGAGCCAAAAUCAGAUUGGAGAGGUGAAUUGUCGAAGAAAGUUGUGUCAAUUGCUGGUGGGAUACCUCUGUGCCUCCAUAUAUUUGGGAGCCUCUUCUCUGACAUUAAAUCCAUUGAAGGAUGGGAGUCGAAGCUGGAGCAAUUAAAACGGGAUCAAAAUGAAGAAGUCCAUGUUAGGUUAAAAAUAAGCUAUGACAGCCUUGAUACUAAAAAACAGCGGAUAUUCUUGGACAUAACAUGUUUUCUUAUUGGUUGGGAGGAUUGGGAGCAAGCUUACCCAGGGGAGUUGGAGAGAUGGGAAGCGAGGAAAGAAAAGAAAGAAUACGCAAUGCUCAUGUGGGAAGGUUCCAGACUUUACCCAACUGAUGCAAUUGAAGAGUUGCAGCGUAAAUUUCUAAUCAGCAUAAAUGAUGAGCAUGGCACAUUUGAAAUGCAUGAUCAAAUACUAGACAUGGGAAGAAAUAUUGUCAAGCAAGAGCCGGUGGCAACCAGGUUUUGGAAAAAUAACGAAACAUCGCAAAUGCUUCAACGAACAAAGGGAACAGAGAAGGUUGAAGCCAUAAUUUUCCACCGUCACGACGGGCAGCAUAAUAUUCCACCUUUGAACAAGAUAUCUUUUAGAAACAUGGAUGAGCUGAGAAUACUUGAUACAAGCUGCGUCAGGAUGGAGGGCUCGUAUCAGGAUCUACCCAAAUCGUUGAAGUUCCUGAGGUGGUGGCAGUGUCCAUUGAAAUCAUUGCCGAUCAUCGACUUCGAUGUUAUGAACAUUGUAGUGGUCGACCUGACAGAGAGCAUCAUAGAGGAGUUUCUAGGUCCAAGUGUGACUAACACGUGGUUUUUUCGUUACCUCCACCCCCAAGAGGUGAACUACUCGCGGACGUUCAGCCAAUUGAAAGUGCUUAUUCUCAAGAAUUGCAAGAACCUCAAGAGCUCCCCCGAUUUUAGGCUGAUUCCAAACGCAACGAAAUUGGUAUUUGAAGGGUGCACCAACUUUGGUCGAGUCCACGAAUCGAUCGGCGAUCUCCAAAGGUUGUUGCGCUUUAACUUGGGAAACUGUCGUUCUCUAAAGAAAACACCUGAUAGCAUCUGUCGCCUAAGUUCUUUGGAGAAGCUCGUCCUGAGCGGGUGUUGGUCACUACAGGAACUACCAGAAGAGAUUGGCAGGUUGACGUCUUUAAAGGUGCUCCAAUUAGGCCCAGGGGAUAUGCAAAGACUUCCAGAGUCUGUUGGCCUGUUGACAAACCUGCAGGAGUUGGAAGCCAUCCUUUGCGAUUUGAAGACAAUCCCAGACAUUUCAAAUUUGCAAGCCCUGCGACGUUUAAGUCUGAGCGGAUGCUUCCAGCUGAUGGAUGUUCCUGGCCUUAGCAAACUGAGACGCCUAUAGUCCCUAUUUCUCGACGGCUGUCGAGCACUAAGGGACAUGAAUGACACGAUGAAGGAGGCCAAAUUCGAACAUUGCAAAUAUCUCAGCAUUCUUGGACAGCCGAUUGAUUAUUCCCGACCCAAAUCUCCACAUGGACUAUGGACAUGGACAUGGUUGGUAUGGACAUGGUCAUGGUCGGUAUGGACAUGGUCGGCCCACACCUGCCCCACGCUGGCUCCGCCAUUGGAGGCCAAAUUCGAACAUUGCAAAUAUCUCAGCAUUCUUGGACAGCCGAUUGAUUAUUCCCGACCCAAAUCUCCACAUGGACUAUGGACAUGGACAUGGUUGGUAUGGACAUGGUCAUGGUCGGUAUGGACAUGGUCGGAGACGGUAUCUUUUUCUCUCCCCAACACUUACACUACUGUUCUUGUUCAGGGCCGCGUGCCACGGUCUUAUAGAGUAACCCAGUUUAGGGCAGAGAGGUAUCAUAAUUCUAGGAUAAUCUUUAGAUGGGCAGAAAGUAAUGAGGCACAGACUGAACCGGAAGAGGUGAUACGGAUCGCCCGCCGUGGAGCUUUCAUCCCUCAAAAGUUGGAGGAUGAUAAAGGGAAAGGAGUCAGGGUAAGAGGUGGGAAGGGCGUUAUGUUUUUGUGUCAUAAAGUGAUAGGGCGCGACAUUCAAGUUGAAGGGUGCACCGUUGCUAUCGCUGACACUGACACAACUCAGAAUCCCAAAUACAGAAAGAAUGGAGGGACCUUUGACCCUUUUUCGGGUGGGGGAAUUAAUACCUCUUAUUCACCCCAAAGAGAUGGGAAGGGAUACCGAAGGAUCUACAUCACGUUCGAAGCGGAAAGCGACUUCCAAGGUACCCAUUUCCGUAUCGAAUUGCACAGGAGGUAACGACCAUGAGAUCCAUGCGGUUUGCUUUUGGUUAUAUAUCGGUUGCAACCUUUGACUGGUUUACUAUUGAUGGGGUUGGAUGUAAAUUAAGGACAAUAUUCAACCUUAUUUUUCAUGUAAUAUCCAAUCAAUAUUUUUAAUAUUUAUAAAAUAAAUAUUGGACCUGAAGUCACCUGAUACGCAUUGACUUAUAUUGGCUUGUGUAAACCACUUUAAGGAAAAAUUUUAAACAAUAUUUGUAUUAAAUAUUGUUAUGUAUUAAAAAAACUUUUUAUUUGCCAUUAAUUUAAUAACUUAACUAUAUAUCUUAGUUGUUAAAAUUAGAAAAUUUAAAACAUAUUGAAUCAUGGAAAGUAUACAAUAUAUCUAUCUAAAACAAAAAAAUAAAGGAUAAAUAACAAAACAACAUAAAACUAUUAGAAACAUAUCAAUAUUUCCUAAUACUUAUACUUUUUGUUGUUAUUGACGGCAUGCAUAGGCCCGCAUCCAACGGAAUGUGUUCACGUCCAAUCCCAGACAAGUUUGAAUCUCCACGAGGGACAUCCCUACACCUUGAAUGGAUUGAUUGUGGACUUUGCUGAGUUGAUCGUGAUGCCAACCUUCUACUUUGAUUUGUUUAUGAUAGAUUGGGGAUGCAGCACAUCUUUGUUUCUUGUUCGGCAGAAAAUUAUGAUGCUACUACUGGAUAGAGAUUAGAUUUAUGACCCUUUCGUUUUUCAGCUUUUUGAUUAACAUCUUAAUAACCACUAUGAACAAGUAUGGUGAUAGUACAUCACCAUGACCAAAACCUCUACGGCAAUCGAAGAGUCAACGACCCCUUUGAGAAGCAAUGGAGAUGUAAGUAUAAAUCAAUUCAACCCACCUGUGAUCAAAUCUUACCUAUCUUAGCGCCCUGCACAGGAAUUGCCAAUGUGUCUUGUUGUACACAUUCGAGAGGUCAAGUUGCCAAUUUCAUCUGUUAAAUAAGUAUAAAAUGGAACGCAUGACUCACCGGAAUCGGUCAAGGCUAGCUCGAUCAAGUGGGCUGAAGUUGAUGGCCAGCUAAGUCAAGUCAAGUUAAUGGCAACCGUUUAGUGAUUUAAGAACAAGGAUGCUCUGUGACUCGUAGAAAAUACAAUGAGGUCACUCACUGCUGUCGAAAAUGGUCUCCAUCUCCUUGCCAGUCACAUUGGACGAUGUGUGGCCCACAAUUUGUUGGGGACUGAAUAGUCUGAAUUGGGUCAAGCCUGAGGGCCCCACAAUUUGUUGGGGACUGAAUAGUCUGAAUUGGGUCAAGCCUGAGGGCCCCACAUGAAUAAUGUUAAUUUAAAACAUAUAAAAUGCAUGUAUGAUUCUUCAUGACUUCACAAAAUUAUGUCAAAAAGGUCGUUAAUAUGUACCAUUCAUUCUUCUGUCUAAACAAAAAAAAAUCCAGCAAACAAAUAAAACUGACUUCCAAACAAGAUUCUAUGCCCUUCAAAACUAUGAAAGGAAAGUCAAAGCAAAAAAAGAAUACAUACAAAAGAUCAACAAAUAUUUAUGAUAUCAACCUUCAUUGAAUUUUCAAAGACUGACAUAAAAAAGGUCUGGUGCUCCGAGUAAGAACACUGAACUGGUGACAUAUCAAUUUUUCAAGAUGCCUUGGCCAGGUCAGUUUGAACCAGCUAAAGGAGUAGAAGCAGGUCUAUACCUCAGUUUUUUUGGUAUCCUUUAACUAAUCUAGAGUGUACGUCCGUUGAUUUAGCACAAGGCUAGUUCCAGACCUAGCAAUUUCAAUACCAAGGAAAUAUUUUAGCAUACCAAGGUUCUUGAGAUUGAACUCGAUCGCCAACAGUUUCUUUAACUUAGUUAUUUCAUCUUCAUCAUUACAUGUGACAAUCAUAUCAUCAACAUAUACCAACUGAAGAGUAACUUUUUGCUCAUUCCUCUUCACAAAGAGUGUAUGAUCUCCAUCUCCUUGAUGAUAUCCAUAUUGUCUCAUUACAAGUCUAAGUCGUUCAAACCAUGCUCGAGGGGAUUUUUAAGCCCAUACAAAGCUUUCUUUAGCUUAAAACAUUUUCCAGGUUCCUAUAUCUUAGAGGCAUACACAUAUACACUUCCUCUUCAAGGUCUCCAUUUAGAAAAGCAUUCUUGACAUGAGGUUGGUACAUCUUCCACUCCUUUAUCACUACUAAGGACAUAAUGACUCUGACAGUCUUCAUCUUCACAAUAAGAGCAAAGGUCUCCAAGUAGUCAAUUCUGUAUUUCUGACUGAACCCAUUGGCAAUAAGUCAAGCUUUAUAUCUGUCUACACUCCCAUUUGGCUUAUAUUUAAUGGUGUAAACUCACUUGGAUCCUACCAGAUGAGCCGCUUCAAGAAUCUUUACCACUUCCCAUGUCAUGUUUCUGUUCAAAGCUUCUAUCUCUUCUUGCAUUGCAUAAGUCCACUUGGAAUCACUCUGAGCCUCAACAGCAAUCCUAGAAAUCACAACAAAAGAAAGAGAUGAUACAAAACAAUUGUAUUCCUUGCUCAGUCUAGAAUAUGACAUCAUUGACAUGAAGUUACCAAUAGGGUGUUGAGUACAUGAUCUGACGCUCUUUCUGAGCGCAAUGGGUAAUUCCUCAUUUUCAGCCUCUGCCUGAGUACUUUCAAGUUUCAACGGACAUCUUUUGAGCACCAAUUGGGUCAUCUAGGGAAGGAGUAGCAUUAGGAUUGGGAGUAGGAUUUUUGUCACCAUGGGGCAUCGCUUUGCCAGCUUCACCAGUGGGUCCUGCUGUAGGCAACCUUCGCCUAGAGUAAACCUGCCCAAACAAACGGUCAUGUCCCACCUCAUUCACAAUUGAACAUCCAUCAUCCUUAUUGUGCUCUAGAGGGUUAGUAACAUGAAUCUCUUCCUUCUUGUAUUCCAAAAAAUCUAUAAACUGAAUCUAUUGAUUGAGGGAAUACUCUUCUCUUAUUGUAUACCUCUCCCCCUGAAGAGAAUUCUCACCAAAAUAGGAAGUGUGUUCAAGGAAGGUGACAUCUUUGGUAACAUAGGCACGACCAGUGGAAGGGUCUCGACACUUAUAUCCUUUUUGAGUAGGGGAAUAACUUAGAAAUACACUCUUAAUAUUAGGACUAUGAUUAUGAAUAAAACAAACAUAGCCAAAAACUCUAAGUGGAAGAGAGGAAGGUUCACGGCUCCCCGAUAACAUAGAAUGAAGCGUUUGCACAUUCAACACACGACUAGGCAUAUGGUUAAUUAGAUAUGCACUAGUCAACACAUCAUCUCCCCAAUACCUUUUUGAGACAUUGAUGUUAAAAAAGAAGAGCUUGAAUCAUAUUCAAUAACUGGCGAUUCUUUCGUUCAACAAUUGCAUUUUGAGGAGGAGUAUAACUACAAGAAGUCUCAUGAACAACUCCCUUUUUUCGAAAGAAGCUAUCAACAGACUGACACGUAUAUUCACCAGCAUUGUCAGACCGAAAGGACUUAACAGAGGUCCCAAAUUGAGUUUCCACAAGAGCAAUGAAAGUCUCUAUGACAUUAGGUACUUCACUACGGUCUUUCAGCAAAUACUUCACUACGGUCAUUAUGACAUAAUGGCGAUAAAAUACUGAAAAUCAAGACAAGAAAGAAUUUCUGAAGGCCCCCAUACAUCAGAAUGAAUUAAGGCAAACACCUCAUUAGAACAAUGAAUAUAAACAAGGUAUGAAGCCCUAACAUGUUUAGCCAGGUGACAAACAUCACAAGACACCAUAGUCAUAUCUAAACUAAAACAUAAAUAAAGAAACAACUGUCUAAAAAUUCUAAAAGGAAGGUGCCCAAGGCGCUCAUGCCAACACAGAACCAACUGCAGGGAUUCCUCUCUACUCUUCUUUGUUUUGCUGGCUGCCAUCAUGAGAGUUGUAGCAGCACGCAUGGCUAAAUGAUAUAGCUCCUCAGAAACCAAACCAAUCCCAAUCCUCUUCCUUGUCACCAAGUCUGGAAGAACAUAGCGAUCAGCAGAAAAAAUAAGUUUGCAAUUCAACUCUUUCGUAAUCUUGCUAACUGACAAGAGGUUCAAGGGAAGAUGAUGAACAUGUAGAGCAUUGUGAAGUAAGAACUUGUUCAAAAGUGAGUGACUCCUUUUUCCAACCACAGAAAUAGAGGAACCAUCGACAAGAGACACACUUUCCUUUCCUGACGAAAGCUUAUACGUAUGAAAGACCUUAGAAUCGCCAGUCAUGUGGUGAGUAGCACCAUUGUCAAUAAUCCACUCUCCCAUAUGAGAAUCUGUAGGCUCAACAGUGGCUGAGAAGAGGCAGCAACAACACUACGCAAUGGAGCAAACACCUCCAAACUGCAGCAGCAUAGCCCAGGCAGAGACACCUUCCACACUGCAAUAGCACAGGUGCAGUCAGCGGCGGAACACCACACACGUCAGGCAAGCAACAACAUUGGCGAUGUAGCAGACUAGCACAGGCAAUGCAGCUCCUACGACAAUAGCUACGGCAGCCACACAGUCGACAAUAGAGAGAAGAAGUGGUAGAGACGAGCGAUGCACGACAGUGCUCCUCAGCCAAUCACGACCAAAAAAGUGAGAGGCAAUGCAGAUCAGACGGAUGGAGGCCAGUCAAAACAGGCGCUGAAAGUAGGCGGAAGUUGUGGAAGAUGUUGUCGUCGAUCAGAGCAGGGAACUUGCUGGGCCAGAUGACAGCAACAUCAACAAAACAAGGCAGCAGCAUGGAGCAAUGGCCAAGGUUCCUUCACGACGGCAGGGAGCAAGGAAAGAGAGAAACAGCAGCUGGGACCUGAGCUGAGGAGCAGGCGAUAACACUGGUGGCGUUGCAUGGAGAGCGAAAAAAACCUGGAGCAGAAUGGCAACUAUGGCCGGCGAUGCAAGACUAGGAAGGAGAAGGCGACGCUGGGGGCGACAACCUGCAAAUUGGUUGAUCUAUUUUAGAGGGUGGUAUGCUGGUUGAGUCAGUCUUCAACCAUUAAAACUCUACUUGACUCAUUUUUCUUGAAAAUGGAUCCUAGGCUGACAAGAUGCCUGCAAAUUGAUUAAAUUCCUUUUUGGAAUGAAAUAGCUCGAAUUCCUUUGUAAUUGUUGCACCAAGGCUCGAGUGACUUCCUAGUGGGAUGUCAAUUUUGCAUCUUUCACCUUCCAUUUUUCAUUGACUUGGUUCACGAUUAGUAGAGAGUCAACAUAAGCAUGAACAUUUUCGAUGUUGAAACUGAGCAAUAUUCUGAGUCCAUGUUUCAAUGCUUCAUAUUUAGCAAUGUUGUGAGUGGAUAUGAAUUCCGACCUGAGAUAAUAAGGGAUCAUCUCCUUUUCAUGAGUAAUUGGGAGAAUCCCAACACCUAUUCCAUCCAUGUCCUUGGAGUGGUCAAAAAACAUUGUCUAUGGCUGAGUGGUUUCAAUGUAUAAAACUUGCUCAUUAAGGAAGUCAUCAUUGGUCUUCAGCUGUUCAACCAAUGGAAAAGCUGUUCAACCAAUGGAAAGUCUACUAACUGAUCAAUCAAUGCUUGUCUCUUGAUGGGCUUUUGGAAAAUGGACUCUAAGUCAUACAUCAUGAGGAGUACCUACCAUUUGUCAAAUUUUCCUAUGAGAAAUGGCUGAUGUAUGAUAUAUUUGAGAGGAUUUAAUCUUGAUACCGCCUUGCUUUUACAGGAAAGCAUGUAAUGUCUCAAUGUCUGACAUAUCUUAACAAGGAAGAGACUCGUUUUCUCCAUCAUUGAAUACUGAAGGUUUUGCAGACAUAAUAUAUCGUGUGUAAUAUUGUGAAACCUUCUUCAUAUUGUGCUAAAUAUCCUCUACAAGGCGAUGCAGGUAGCAGACGAUGCAGGGAGAGGCGAUGACAGGAGCAUCUACAGAGACACGGUGGAGGAAGAUGGGAGACAGGAGAUGGGAGGCGACGUCGCAGGAAACAAUGGCGAGACUUGCCACGGCAACAGGGGCGAUGACGUCGGGCGACGACAUUGGAGCAGCAGGGGCAAUGUUGGAGCAGCAGGGCCGAGAUCAGGCAGGCGACGGGUGUCCGAGCGAUGGUCGAUGGUGUACGAGAGAAAGGCAAAGGGUGACGGCAGGAAGCAGGGGACGCGGCGGAGAGAGACGGAACUUCACAGCAACUCGUCGGGCCAAAAAAUCCCUCUUUUCAGAGAUUCGGCUUUGAUACCAUGUUGAAACAGAAAAAGCCAGUUGAACAAUGAACAGAUACAGAUGUAACAUGGAAAACCCCUCAACUAGAGGAAAAAAAACCACGCGUGAGAGUGACUGGUGCCCACUAGCAACCAGACACUCUCUCUCUCUUAGAUUUUCAUUAACCAUGAAAAGAUGGAUUACUAGGGUAUAAAUAAAACCACAACAUUACAAAGCGGAUCGGGUCCAGACCCAGACCCGAAACAACCAAAGCCGUCAACACAUGUGAUAUCUGCACUACCAGCAUAUUGGGGCUUGUCAGUUUGUUUUUGUCGUAGUACAUGUAAGAAGCUCGAAAGUAUGUGUGAAAAUUUUUAUGGGAAGGUAUGGAAAUAUCUAAGGCAUGCCACCAUGUGAGAUUGGGUAAACUAUGUUUGUCAUAUGAAGAAGGAAGGGUAGGGCUUUGAUAAACUAGAUCAUGGAGGGAGAGAAAACGAGAGACAAAGAGAGAAGAAGAGCGUCUGAGUGAUAGAGAAAACAAAAAACCAGUGAGAAAAAAAGGGAGCACCGACUACCGAGCACUGGAGAAGGUCUGCAGCGUGCAAGAGACGAAAAGGAAGAGACAAGAGGCGCUGAGCACAAGCACACUGGUCGCUGCUGCCUGCUGGCUUCAAGAAGAGGACUGUAUCUGGAAUUAGAAGUUUCUGGCAACUAUGAAGUAUGAAGGCUAAGUGGAAGAGGAAGCAAUGCUCUUUUGCUGGCCUCCUGUACUGGAAGCCACGUAAUAGUUCAGGAAACAUGCUUUACUUCAGAUGCACUUUUGGUCUAAAAACACUUCACACGACUAUUAAGUGGGUGUGUGGAGGAGCUCUUAUAUUUUCAAGAAGAAAGCAUCCAGAUCUGAUGCCAGGGUUGUGCAUAAGAGGUAGAUUUUGCAUUGAAGAAAGAGGGUUUUUGUUCAUUUUGUGUAUGGGAACCUAUUUCACUUUGAAAGGUAUAGGGGAAUCUGCAUUUUCUGCAACUAGAUUUCUGGUUUUUCUUAAAGAUACUUAAAUUUUUAAUGUAGAUUUGUAGUUGUGCCAUAAUGCAUUUACUCAAAGAAGCACACGGUUGCAGGACAACCCAGAUCCACAUCAUCAAGAUUUUGUCCUCAUCAAGAUUUUGUCCUUGGCUUUAAUGAUACACUAGGCACACUAUCUAACAUUAGUAGUCUUAAAGAUGAGAAUGUUGCACCAGCAGUAUCAGCAAUGCAAUAUGAUCAACACAUCAAGAUGAACAUAGUAGAGUAGGAGAACUUGGUGAAAUAGGAGAGUAGCAGCGAAAGAACUUAGUGAACCCAAGUGGGCUAAGUCUUUGCUUUGCAUGUCUAAUAUAUAUAUAUAAAUAUAAAUAUAAAUAUAAAUAUAAAGAAAGAGAGUUAUUAUUUAGUUGUAAUAAUAAAUGAUAUAUUUUUU